rnacentral:rRNA from 2 species
GCAGUCGAGCGGACAGAAGGGAGCUUGCUCCCGGAUGUUAGCGGCGGACGGGUGAGUAACACGUGGGUAACCUGCCUGUAAGACUGGGAUAACUCCGGGAAACCGGAGCUAAUACCGGAUAGUUCCUUGAACCGCAUGGUUCAAGGAUGAAAGACGGUUUCGGCUGUCACUUACAGAUGGACCCGCGGCGCAUUAGCUAGUUGGUGGGGUAAUGGCUCACCAAGGCGACGAUGCGUAGCCGACCUGAGAGGGUGAUCGGCCACACUGGGACUGAGACACGGCCCAGACUCCUACGGGAGGCAGCAGUAGGGAAUCUUCCGCAAUGGACGAAAGUCUGACGGAGCAACGCCGCGUGAGUGAUGAAGGUUUUCGGAUCGUAAAGCUCUGUUGUUAGGGAAGAACAAGUGCGAGAGUAACUGCUCGCACCUUGACGGUACCUAACCAGAAAGCCACGGCUAACUACGUGCCAGCAGCCGCGGUAAUACGUAGGUGGCAAGCGUUGUCCGGAAUUAUUGGGCGUAAAGGGCUCGCAGGCGGUUUCUUAAGUCUGAUGUGAAAGCCCCCGGCUCAACCGGGGAGGGUCAUUGGAAACUGGGAAACUUGAGUGCAGAAGAGGAGAGUGGAAUUCCACGUGUAGCGGUGAAAUGCGUAGAGAUGUGGAGGAACACCAGUGGCGAAGGCGACUCUCUGGUCUGUAACUGACGCUGAGGAGCGAAAGCGUGGGGAGCGAACAGGAUUAGAUA